rnacentral:rRNA from 1 species
AUUGAACGCUGGCGGCAGGCCUAACACAUGCAAGUCGAACGAGGGGCGGACGGGGGAGUAAGGGCUGGGAAACGGCCUGAGGGAGGGGGAUAAGUACUGGAAACGGUAGCUAAUACCGCAUACUAUCAGAUGUGCGCAGAUGGGAUUAGCUUGUUGGUGGGGUAACGGCUCACCAUGGCGACGAUCCCGAGCUGGUCUGAGAGGAUGACCAGCCCCACUGGAACUGAGACACGGUCCAGCCUCCUACGGGAGGCAGCAGUGGGGACUCUUUCGCAAUGGGCGCAAGCCGGAUUCAGCCAUGCCGCGUGUAUGAAGCAGGCCUUCGGGUUGUAAAGUACUUUCAGCGGGGAGGCGUUACCCGCUGAAGAAGCACCGGCUAACUCCGUGCCAGCAGCCGCGGUAAUUC